CCUGGAGCCUCUAAUAUACUUCAUGGAUUAAUGGAUAUGAACAUUAUCAACCUUAAGGCGAGACACUAUGUGGGUCCUACGCUGCAAAGAACUCAACCCCUAAAUUAAGAAGGGGAAGACUAAAUGGAACAGCAGUACAGGACAGUGCAUCUCAGACACCCCUGAG
rnacentral:lncRNA from 1 species